GGAUCAAGAGGCUUCUUGUUCUUCUUUCUGCUUUUCUGGGUCCUAUUACUUUCGGUGAGCUUUAAAGUUGGGAGUUGCAUAUAUUCCCAUUGAUGAAACAUUAGCUGUGGGUAAUGAAUAAAAAAGCUUGACUGGCUGCAAAUCUCCCUCCCCCUCUCAAGCAGCCAAGAACAGCAAUCUUGCAUAUUUGUUACUGCCGCCUGAACGCUUAAACCGAGGUGGAUUGGAAGUUGGCCUCCCUU
rnacentral:misc_RNA from 1 species